GACAGAGGGGGCAAGCGUUGCUCGGAAUUACUGGGCGUAAAGAGCGUGUAGGCGGCCAUGUAGGUCCGUUGUGAAAACUCGAGGCUCAACCUCGAGACGCCGAUGGAAACCAUAUGGCUAGAGUCCGGAAGAGGAGAGUGGAAUUCCUGGUGUAGCGGUGAAAUGCGCAGAUAUCAGGAAGAACACCCGUGGCUAAGGCGGCUCUCUAGUACGGUACUGACGCUGAGACGCGAAAGCGUGGGGAGCGAACAGG
rnacentral:rRNA from 1 species